rnacentral:rRNA from 1 species
GAUGAACGCUAGCUACAGGCUUAACACAUGCAAGUCGAGGGAACGGCGCACGGGUGAGUAACACGUAUCCAAACUGCCCUUUACUCGGGGAUAGCCUUUCGACAGAAAGAUUAAUACCCGAUAUAAAGGAUGGGGAGUCGUUCCAUUAGGUGGUUGGUGAGGGAACGGCACACCAAGCCUUCCAUGGAUAGGUGGUCGGAGGGGAAGGUCCCCCACAUUGGAACUGAGACACUGUCCAAACUCCUACGGGAGGCAGCAGUGAGGAAUAUUGGUCAAUGGGCGGUAGCCUGAACCAGCCAAGUAGCGUGAAGGAUGAAGGCUUAUGGGUCGUAAACUUCUUUUAUAGAAGAAUAUGUAUUAUAUGAAUAAGGAUCGGCUAACUCCGUGCCAGCAGCCGCGGUAAUUC